ACCCCUUCCCAUCCCGAACAGGACCGUGAAACGACUUUGCGCCGAUGAUAGUGCUGCAACCAGUGUGAAAGUAGGUUAUCGUCAGGCU
rnacentral:rRNA from 1 species